rnacentral:lncRNA from 1 species
UUCGUGUUGUUUCUGAUGUGUAUGUUGUCAGCGUGCCAGGCUUCAGGGUUACACCUUGGCAGAGAGCCUCCCCAAAUUCAGAGGACCAUGACCAAGCUCAUCACUGCCCAACAGGGCAGGCCAGGCAUGGUGGGGGUAAAAAGCUCAGCUUUUCUCUUGCUGCUUCCAGGAGGUGGACAUAUAUAGUGACUUCCCUACCUUCCAAGUGGAAGGAUCUGGUGCCUGUAGGGUAGCCAGAAGACAAGCAGGGUGAACUGGAGUUUUCUUCUGCCACUGGCUUCAGGAUCACAGGCUCAACUUGACCUCAGCGGGGAAGGCAAUAGCGGGCUUGUCAUGCUCAGCAGGGAGUAAAAAGUAUUGUGGUUUUCUCCUGGCUCUGUGGGAAGCAGCUGCCCUGUUAUGAAGACACUCACACAACCUCCUUAUGAAACCUCCCCGUGGUGGGGAACUGAGGC